ensembl:lncRNA
UAUAUAUAUAUAUAUAUAUAUAUAUAUAUAUAUAUGUGUGUGUGUGUGUGUGUGUGUGUGUGUGUGGUUCCCAAAGUGGGGAAUGUACCACAUUGCAUGGGGGGAGCGGUAUGAAUUUUGAAAAAAAGAAAGAAAGAAUGGUUGGACACUGUUAGUAUAAUAGACAGGUUUUUUGACAGACCUCCCACACAAAUGCAAAGCAGAAGCAUCACCAAAUAUGAUUCCAAACCAACUUCCUUCCAAGCCAAACACUAACAUAUGAUGAAGCAUAUCUUGCCUUUGGCUUCACCUGCACAAAGGCUGUCAAUCCAAUGGUAGGUGUCCCUGGCAGAAUUUGCUUCCCCUGCGUCAGUAGUAGAUGCUGGGCUCUCCAAAUCACGGACAAACAGUAUUCCACAUUCUUCAUUUUUAGUUCACAAACACUAUAACGACUAACUACUCCAGAAACUUUGGAGGUUUUAGCUCUUUAUACAGUAAAGUUACAGGAGGAUAUAAAUAAUUAUCAGGCAAAAUGUCCUUCGUUUGUUAGAAUAAUCCCACAUGAGAACAAUAAAUAUAUCAUUUUCUGCUGUAACCCUCAAAUUGAAUGGUAAUGUAACGACACUCAUUUUUUCCUUUUUCAUAAAACUAAAACAUACUUCCACGUCUAACAGUCUGUAAUGGAGGCAAAGUAAACUGGAUCCUCACUCCGUGUUGAGCGAAUGCUCGCGACACAGGGGGAAUAAAUUUUGUCGGUGAUACCUACCUUGGCACAACACUGACCCUGCCACAAUUUGUUCCCCCGGUUCAAAUCAUGGACAAACAGUAUCCCACAGUUGGUUAUGUGUUUAAACCCAUUUUGCACAGAGAGACAUUUUUUGAAGAAUGUAUUGACAGCAGCGUUGAUUGUAAAACAAUGAGGGGCCUAGCAAAAAAAGUUGGGGAACCACUGUUUUAGCCACAGUGUAAAUGAAUGAUGUACAUGGAUGUGCAGUCUGCCCAAGUCACCUAUUAGAAGGUCUGUUUUUUAAUUAAAAUAAAAGUAAUUUCGAAGUUUCUAAACUACUUGGAAUCACCCGUCUCAUUCUUUGUUUAAAAGAUGUUGUCAUGACACAUUUGCGUGUUAGGACGACUGUGGACCCAAAUGCAGGACUCAGCAGAAAGACUUAAACUCAAAACACAGCGUUAUUAGCUAGUAAAUGGCAAACUUAACAACACAUACAGCUGAGUAAAACAGGAGUAAACAGACUGAAAACUAACACUGACAGAGAGAAGGGAGAACACACAACAUGAGGAGAGGUCACAACAAUUGACUGAAGGAAACUAAAGGCUUAAAUACACACGAGGUGAUCGGGGAGAUGAAACUCACGGGAACACAGGUGAACUAAAUCUGACUACCAAGACAGAGGAUGCAAAACUGAAUGUACGGGCAGGAGACAGGGGACUAACAAAAUAAAACAGGAAGGAACACACUGAGACUGAGACAUGGCAUUUGGACUGGGGAUAAACAGACAUGGAGACAUGACAGACUGGGGACACAAAAGGAUGAAACACAGCGAUGAAGAUGGGAACAGGGAAAAACCACAGCCAGACAGACCUGAACACAACUGGGGAGACCAGAGGUAAAACAACACAGAGACAUAAGACAGGGACGAAACUAACAGACUGGACACAAAAGGACAAGAAAUCAAGAAAUAUAAAUAACAAUCUCAUAGACAACAGAGUGAAACAUAAUCAGGAAUUAAAAGCUAAAUUAACGUAUAACUUUAAAAAGACACAUAAUUACAUAAUUUUGUCUGUGGCAGGUGAGUGACCACAGUUUUGUAUUAAACAGUUUAUAUUUUGACAGGAAGCCCCUCAGUGUUGAGCUUUCAGUGUCACUGCUCCUUUAGUAGGUGAGUUGCAGAUGGAUUCACACGAUGAAACUGCAGCCAGUUAAAUAAGAUUAGUUAACUUCAAACACUCUGUUUUGGAAGACAAAAAAAGGUUACAAGAAAAUGUAAAACUAAACCAUAAAUAAAUGGACAAAAAAAAACCCUGUGAAAACAGAGGAGUGUGGGUUUGAGGGAGGGACCACAACAAGAAGCGAAAGUUAGAAGUUCCUGGUUUGCAAACAGAGAAGAAAGAGAAGCAGCAUUAAGCAUUACACCGUCAGAACCUCGAGAUGAAACUCUGUCACAUUUUCUUCUGCUCCAUCUUCCUCUACCUGCAGGAUGGAAACACUGGACUUGCCAACGCUGAAACUCUCGUCUAUGAAGGAGUGGAAGGAGGAAACAUCACAGUUGAAUGUAAAUUUGUGAUCCUUGGAAGAAAGACAUUGUUCUGCAAAGACAAAUGUGAAAAAGGAAACGUUCUCAUUGAAACAGCUGGUUACACAGCUCAGAGCGGCAGAUACAGCAUUAAAUAUGAAAAAAAUUAUUUCUCAAAGGAUAUUGUGUAUGUGAGCAUCACACAGCUGAACAAGUCUGAUGCAGGAUUGUACAGCUGCAAACUGGACACAAGUUUACAACCAUGUGAUUUUCAGCUUGUCAUCACAGGAGCUUCAAACAUUUCAACACCAAAUCAGCCUUUUUCAGUAUCAACAUUUCUCCUGUCGGCCUCCACAACAACAACAACACAGCAUUUGAACUUCAGUUCAAGAAGCUUCACACCAUCAUCAGCCUCCUCUGAAGUCUCCAGACAGUCUCAAACCGCUGCAGGUUCAGGUAAGCUGCUUCAUGUGAUUCUGAUUCUGGUCGCUAUGAUCACCAUCUUAUCAGCAGCUUUGCUGAUUUUCUACAAGCACAGGAAGAAUAAACCAAAAGGACCUCCUGUGAAAACUGAACAUGCUGACAUCACACAGGCCAACGGGCUUUAUGGAAACAUCACAGAGGAUGAAACUCAGAACAGUGUAACUCCUGUACGGGUGUUUUCAGUUUAUGACUACCCCGAAGGCUCGCAACCAGAUGGAGUUGAAAACCAAGAGCAUUACAGCCUCGUCACCGCUCCUCAGAACACGGUAAAUAAAAUCAUGGUUUGAUUUUAAACUCUGAGGUCAGAAACAAUGACCGGUGCAGCAUUUUGGGCAGUAAACUAAUUCACUAGUUGUCUGGAUGAAUCAAGCUGACAUAGCAACAGGCCACUUUCUGAAGCUUGUAUUGAAAAGGGUUCAUUACUCGAAGGUUUUCGACACAGUGCUCUUUGGUGACAUCUGGUGGCCAAAAAUAUGAAGCGCAGAGCAAUUUAAUAUGAACUGCUUCAUUGUGAUUACCCGCUCGACCUGAGCUAACAGCUUCUGUUUAAUAUUAUGUGACAAUUCUGUGUGAUAUCGGACUAUCGCUGUGGUGCUUUGAACAUGUACUUUUGAAGGAUGAAAAAGAAAUGUUAUGUCUAUUUGAUUAAUAAAUAAUUUUAAUGAAUAAAUAUGUGACAUGAUGUGUUCUCCCUUUGCUUUUGACUUCUUGACAUUUGUAGACA